rnacentral:rRNA from 1 species
UACAGAGGUCUCAAGCGUUGUUCGGAUUCAUUGGGCGUAAAGGGUGCGUAGGCGGCGCGGUAAGUCGGGUGUGAAAUCUUGGAGCUUAACUCCGAAACUGCAUUCGAUACUGCCGUGCUUGAGGACUGGAGAGGAGACUGGAAUUUACGGUGUAGCGGUGAAAUGCGUAGAUAUUGGGAGGAACACCAGUGGCGAAGGCGGCUCACUGGACUGGUACUGACGCUGAGGCGCGAAAGCGUGGGGAGCAAACGGG